rnacentral:rRNA from 1 species
UGGGGAAUAUUGGGCAAUGGGCGCAAGCCUGACCCAGCAACGCCGCGUGAAGGAAGAAGGCUUUCGGGUUGUAAACUUCUUUUAAGGGGGAAGAGCAGAAGACGGUACCCCUUGAAUAAGCCACGGCUAACUACGUGCCAGCAGCCGCGGUAAUACGUAGGUGGCAAGCGUUGUCCGGAUUUACUGGGUGUAAAGGGCGUGCAGCCGGAGAGGCAAGUCAGAUGUGAAAUCCGCGGGCUCAACCCGCGAACUGCAUUUGAAACUGCUUCCCUUGAGUAUCGGAGAGGUAACCGGAAUUCCUAGUGUAGCGGUGAAAUGCGUAGAUAUUAGGAAGAACACCAGUGGCGAAGGCGGGUUACUGGACGACAACUGACGGUGAGGCGCGAAAGCGUGGGGAGCAAACA